GACGAACGCUGGCGGCGUGCUUAACACAUGCAAGACGAACGGAAAGGCCCUGCUUUUGUGGGGUGCUCGAGUGGCGAACGGGUGAGUAACACGUGAGUAACCUGCCCUUGACUUUGGGAUAACUUCAGGAAACUGGGGCUAAUACCGGAUAGGAGCUCCUGCUGCAUGGUGGGGGUUGGAAAGUUUCGGCGGUUGGGGAUGGACUCGCGGCUUAUCAGCUUGUUGGUGGGGUAGUGGCUUACCAAGGCUUUGACGGGUAGCCGGCCUGAGAGGGUGACCGGCCACAUUGGGACUGAGAUACGGCCCAGACUCCUACGGGAGGCAGCAGUGGGGAAUAUUGCACAAUGGGCGGAAGCCUGAUGCAGCAACGCCGCGUGCGGGAUGACGGCCUUCGGGUUGUAAACCGCUUUCGCCUGUGACGAAGCGUGAGUGACGGUAAUGGGUAAAGAAGCACCGGCUAACUACGUG
rnacentral:rRNA from 1 species